CACGGCGCUAAUCGGAGGCUGAGCCGAGUCGUCUGCUGGAAGGAUCAAACCCAAAACAAGGCUUGUACUUUUACCUUACCGUUUGCAAACAAGCGUCACUUUUAAAAGGAAUUCACCCUUAAAGGCAGCAGUUCAGCAUGGAAAACCAGAAGUGGUAGGGUCUUUGUGACUUGAGGUGUGGGAGCAAGGCUGCUCCCUGAUUCCCCCCGGUGCUCCCCUGCCCCCCGCCCUCCUGGACGGCCCCGAAAUGACCACAGGGGAGUGUUGCCACCUCCCAGGCUCCCUGUGCGACUGCACUGGCAACGCUGCCCUGUCUAAAACCGUGGAGGAGGCUGACAACCGCCGGGCCCAGUACGUCACCCAGGUCACGGCCAAAGAUGGACGUCUACUAUCUACUGUUAUCAAAGCCCUGGGCACCCAGAGCGAUCGGCCGAUUUGUCGGAUCUGCCACGAGGGUCAAGAUGUGUGCAAUAGCGAGGGGCUUCUCUCCCCAUGCGACUGCACCGGCACAUUGGGCACGGUCCACAAGAGCUGCCUGGAGAAGUGGCUGUCCUCCUCUAACACCAGCUACUGUGAGCUGUGCCACACUGAGUUUACCAUAGAGCGCCGGCCCCGACCCCUCACAGAGUGGCUCAGGGACCCGGGCCCCCGGAAUGAGAAGCGCACCCUCUUCUGUGACAUGGUGUGCUUCCUGUUUAUAACGCCCCUGGCAGCCAUCUCAGGCUGGCUGUGUCUACGGGGGGCACAGGACCACCUGCACUUCAACAGUCGCCUGGAGGCAGUUGGCCUCAUCGCUCUGACCAUCGCACUCUUCACCAUCUACGUCCUCUGGACACUGGUCUCAUUCCGCUACCACUGUCAGUUGUACUCGGAGUGGAGACGAACCAAUCAGAAAGUCCUCUUGCUCAUUCCUGACACCAAGGGUGCACACUCUACCCAGCAUUCCUUGCUUUCCACAAAGCUGCUGAAAAAGACAGCAGACGAGACCAUAGUAUGAGAGACGUGGUUUGGGGGAGCGGGGCCCGAUCGGGGUGGUAUUAGUGUGCUACAGGUUCUUGACACAGCGUCGUCAACUAGAGCCGCGGCAUUUUGGAUGCAUUCUUUUCUAUUUAAUCCUUUUUAUCUAAAUAUGUGAGCACUUCAUUUAUUUUAUUUUAAUGUUUUUUUUCCAAGCCUUUAUAAGUGUGUUGUUUUUAUUUAUUUGGGGCUUGAACAGCCAGGCUGAGGCCCCAUACUGUUCAGUAUGCAUUGUAUUUGAAACAAUCGGAAAACUAACUUAUGUGUAUAGACAAUUCCUUUGAGCACAGCGGCGAGGGAUUAUGACUCAAGUACAUACAGCUGCUGAAGCUUAAAACCAAACCUUUCUUUCAUUUUCGAUGUAUCGUUUUUCUACUCAUCUACCUUCAAGUACUUUCCAUCUUAACCUGACAGAGUUGCGCCUAAGCGAACUUAGUCUUUGUGGCUCCUAUACGAUUUAGUCAAGAUAUAAUUAUAUAAAUAUAUACACACUAAGUGAACAAGUAAGCUUUAAGCUUCGAUAGACUUGGGUGUUACAGGACCAUUUGCUUGGGCAAUGAAUGUGGAGGCUGAUGUAUAUCUGCGGAUGCUCAAGCUCAUCCGGAGGUUGGCGAAAAAAAUAGAGUGCAAUAACACGCCGCCAUUGGCAUGAUUCUGCUGUGAACACACGCAGGUUUUCAUGCAUGCCUAUUUCAUUUCGCAAAUCUCAUUAAAUUGGUGACUGUUCGUGAGUUUCAAUUUUGCGUACAGAUCAAAGCCUGUUUUUCCGAACCGAACGGUCCCCGAACAACGUAAAACAGCAUGUGAGCUGAACAAAUGUAGAUAUGUGUACACUUUUGGGAUGCAAAUAUGUGGCAACUUUAUAUGUUGUUGUUGAGUUGUGAUGAGUGCAGAUGCAAACAGACCUCUACAGUUCAUUGUUGAAUCAUUUUCAGAAUCAUUUUUUCCUUCGUUUUUUAGGUGAGUGUUUAAAGACGAAUGUGUAUGUGUGUUUACAGUAUGCAUUUUGUAAGCUCUGGCUCUUUGUGCUGUUUAGUUAGCAUCAAAUGCCUGAGGUUGAGGAUGGCAUACUUGGGAUUUUGUAGCAGUUUACUUUGUGAAAGAUGCAGGUCAAGCCGCAGGGGAAGACGUAAUUGUAAAGCUAAACAUCAUUGCCAGACCAGUAACGAAACCGUCGUCCAUGAAUGACACUACAGUAUUUAAGCAAAGGUGUCUUUUAGCUGUGUCAUAUUGGUGCAAGAAGAAUCUGCAGAACACCAACCCUCCGAUCUUUUCAUUCCCUACGGUUAUGUACCAUCUGAAAGUGUGAGAAUGGGAUAGGCAGUAUCGUAAUAAUUGCACAUUUGCCACUCUUAAUGUGGACCCUUUUGCGCCUUAUGCACUCGCUGUGGAAGAUCUAUGUCUAGAAAAGAUUUGCGCAAAAUUUUGGCGGUAAAGUUCACUGAGGGCAUUGUUCACCUGAUGAUGAAAAUGUCGUUAUUUAUUCACCCUAAUGUCACUUCAAACUUUACUGCUGUUAUUUUAAUCGUAGAACAAUUUUGGUGAAUCAUUUCCGGAACGCAUACAAUGACAAUUUGUAGUGACCUUGUCUGUCAAGCUUCAAGAUCGCAAUGAAAGCGGUUCAUAUGAAACAUGAACCCUUUUACAAGUUCAUUCAAUAGUUUCGUGCAAGAACCUGAAAGAAAUAAAAGUGGUAAUCUUCUCCAAAGCUCUAAAAUCUCACUUACGUUCAGAUUCUGUAAUGGUUGAUUUGCCACGCCUAGUUUAUUUGUGAAAGACUUUUAAGUGAAUCGCCACUUAAAAAAUUAGCUUCGUAUGACUUCAGUUGGAAUAUAGUGUGCAAGCCGUAUAGACCACAUGGAAUUUUUUUUUUUUACUUUCUAGAAAAGAUUAUGGUGAAAAUUCUUCAGAUGUUAAUGGAAGCUUGGUUCCAGGAUGGGAUUAAAAAAUUGUACAAAAAAUGAUUAAAAAAAAUUAAAAAGUUGUAUAUCUCACAAUUCUGUUUUGUUGGACAAUACCAGCAGUACUUAAUAAACAGUAUAAAAUUUUUCAGUUCAGUUCAAUUCUCUGGUAUUGUUCAAUUAUAAUUAUAAAUAUGUUAUAUACCUUUUACAUUUUGUUAACCAUACAUAACUUUCUCACCACUCUGGCAAUUCUGAGAAAUUCGGAGUUGUGAGAUAUAAUUAGGAAUUGUGAGAUAUAAUUAGGAAUUCUGAGAAGAAAGGUCUGACUUGUGUGUUAACACAAUUAAGAG